ACGAACGCUGGCGGCGUGCUUAACACAUGCAAGUCGAACGGAAAGGCCCUGCUUUUGUGGGGUGCUCGAGUGGCGAACGGGUGAGUAACACGUUAGUAACCUGCCCUUGACUUUGGGAUAACUUCAGGAAACUGGGGCUAAUACCGGAUAGGAGCUCCUGCUGCAUGGUGGGGGUUGGAAAGUUUCGGCGGUUGGGGAUGGACUCGCGGCUUAUCAGCUUGUUGGUGGGGUAGUGGCUUACCAAGGCUUUGACGGGUAGCCGGCCUGAGAGGGUGACCGGCCACAUUGGGACUGAGAUACGGCCCAGACUCCUACGGGGGGCAGCAGUGGGGAAUAUUGCACAAUGGGCGGAAGCCUGAUGCAGCAACGCCGCGUGCGGGAUGACGGCCUUCGGGUUGUAAACCGCUUUCGCCUGUGACGAAGCGUGAGUGACGGUAAUGGGUAAAGAAGCACCGGCUAACUACGUG
rnacentral:rRNA from 1 species